rnacentral:rRNA from 1 species
GACGAACGCUGGCGGCGUGCCUAAUACAUGCAAGUAGAACGCUGAAGGAGGAGCUUGCUCUUCUGGAUGAGUUGCGAACGGGUGAGUAACGCGUAGGUAACCUGCCUGGUAGCGGGGGAUAACUAUUGGAAACGAUAGCUAAUACCGCAUAAGAGUAGAUGUUGCAUGACAUUUACUUAAAAGGUGCAAUUGCAUCACUACCAGAUGGACCUGCGUUGUAUUAGCUAGUUGAUGGGGUAACGGCUUACCAAGGCGACGAUACAUAGCCGACCUGAGAGGGUGAUCGGCCACACUGGGACUGAGACACGGCCCAGACUCCUACGGGAGGCAGCAGUAGGGAAUCUUCGGCAAUGGACGGAAGUCUGACCGAGCAACGCCGCGUGAGUGAAGAAGGUUUUCGGAUCGUAAAGCUCUGUUGUAAGAGAAGAACGAGUGUGAGAGUGGAAAGUUCACACUGUGACGGUAUCUUACCAGAAAGGGACGGCUAACUACGUG